UACGUAGGUCCCGAGCGUUGUCCGGAUUUAUUGGGCGUAAAGCGAGCGCAGGUGGUUUAUUAAGUCUGGUGUAAAAGGCAGUGGCUCAACCAUUGUAUGCAUUGGAAACUGGUAGACUUAAGUGCAAGAGAGGAGAGUGGAAUUCCAUGUGUAGCGGUGAAAUGCGUAGAUAUAUGGAGGAACACCGGUGGCGAAAGCGGCUCUCUGGCCUGUAACUGACACUGAGGCUCGAAAGCGUGGGGAGCAAACAGG
rnacentral:rRNA from 1 species